GUGGGGAAUUUUGGACAAUGGGGGCAACCCUGAUCCAGCCAUGCCGCGUGCGGGAAGAAGGCCUUCGGGUUGUAAACCGCUUUUGUCAGGGAAGAAAUCCUUUGGGUUAAUACCUCGGAGGGAUGACGGUACCUGAAGAAUAAGCACCGGCUAACUACGUGCCAGCAGCCGCGGUAAUACGUAGGGUGCGAGCGUUAAUCGGAAUUACUGGGCGUAAAGCGUGCGCAGGCGGUUUUGUAAGAUCGAUGUGAAAUCCCCGGGCUCAACCUGGGAACUGCAUUGGUGACUGCAAGGCUGGAGUGCGGCAGAGGGGGAUGGAAUUCCGCGUGUAGCAGUGAAAUGCGUAGAUAUGCGGAGGAACACCGAUGGCGAAGGCAAUCCCCUGGGCCUGCACUGACGCUCAUGCACGAAAGCGUGGGGAGCAAACAGGAUUAGAAACCCUAGUAGUCC
rnacentral:rRNA from 1 species